rnacentral:rRNA from 1 species
UACAGAGGGUGCGAGCGUUAAUCGGAUUUACUGGGCGUAAAGGGCGCGUAGGCGGCGCACCAAGUCAGGCGUGAAAGCCCUGGGCUCAACCCGGGAAUUGCGCUUGAGACUGGUGUGCUUGAGUACGGGAGAGGAUAGUGGAAUUCCCAGUGUAGAGGUGAAAUUCGUAGAUAUUGGGAAGAACACCGGUGGCGAAGGCGGCUAUCUGGACCGUAACUGACGCUGAGGCGCGAAAGCGUGGGGAGCAAACAGG